UGCCGCUUCUAACUCGGUCCCCUGCCCUCGGACAUCCCAGCGUUGCGCCUCGGACGUGGUGGGUGCGACAGCCAGCUCGGGGCCCAGCUCCAACCCGCUCCCCAGACAUCCGGCAGCAGCGGCUGCCACCCCGGACCCGACCCCUCUGCUCCUGAGGCCCCGUCCCGUACGCUGACCUGGUGGCGGAAACCGGAAGCGGAAGUGCUAAUCGGAAACCGACUCACUUCGAGCUCCGCCCCGCUUCUAAUGCGUUGGCUCCCCGGAGGUUUCGAGCUUCCGCGACUGGCAGGGAAUCGCGGGUGCGCCGCGCCCGAGGGACCGCGGCCGCCCGGGUCCGUCCCAGAGCCUCGGUCGGCUCCGCCCGCGCGGGUGGGGGUCGGGGCCGCGGCUCGGGGAGACAGGGCCUUCUCUCUGCCCGCUGUGAGCCUCUCUGCGAAAGAUGCCAGAACAAACUGUGUCCUUUCUCCAGAGGAGAAACGUGUACGCGGUUGUGGAAAACGGCCGCAGCGCCCCCUUCUCUCCGACGUGGCGAUUGCGAUAUGGCUAAAGAGUGAUGGUUGAUGAUUGAGGAAAAAUGUCUGAUGUUUAAUGAUGGAUGUUGUGAACCAGUUAGCCAGAUACUCCAGUGUAUGAAGAGAAAUUGAGAUCAACGUCUUAAACUCAAAAGCUCCUCUGAAGUGGUCUGAGCAAGAGAUGGAAUAUUCUGGAAACUCUAUCAGAUUCACAGGAUGGCAGCCCUUGAUGUGAAUCAGAGGAAAGGAAACUCGAAGAGGCAAGGAUGGUGGCUGGGUUACUGAUGGAUUCUUCUCAGGUAAGUAGAAAGUUGACCUUUCUUCAGAAUGUCCUGUUUCUCUCUGUCAGGUAGCCUUAUCUUCUUGUAAUGUCCCCAGGCUUUUUAUAGCAAUUAAUGGCCCUGCUUAAGGAAUGAGUCCCAGGUAAAUGUCUCCAGGACUCAUGCCAUCUCAGAAUACAUAGGGAUUAUAUUGGAUGCGAUUCUUUUAUCUCCGUAUUCAUUAAUUCUUUCUGAUGCUUGGUCAUGCUUGUUGGCUUAUCAUUUCACUGAGUGUUAUGAUAGAUACUGAGGAAUGAUAUGAAGGUAUCUAAUCUCAUGGAAUGCAUGUGUUACUGUGGAAAUAAUUCAUCUCUUAGUAGAUUUUACAGAGUGUUACAGUGUGCUCAGUGCUAACCGCAGCCUAUAAAUAGAGGAGGAAAAUAAAGCAAGAAGCGCCCACAAUAAAGUUGUGGUAACAUAAGUUUCAUCACAUGUCAGACGUGCCGGUAAAUCCACAUGACUGGCUGUGAUCACCAGGCACGUCUGUAGCUGGAGAGCAGCCGAGGUCUGGGCCCGAGAGUGCCGUAGGCUUCUGGUCUACCUUCCUCAGUCCUUCAUCUUUCUGAGAACCUCAGAGAAGAUGGCAGUUCGCUGAAGGCAGCAUGUGUCUGACGGUUUAGCACUUAGUGACCUUGAGUAUGUAGCUGUGGACUUUGCCCAGGAGGAGUGGACUUUGUUGGAUCAAACACAGGUUGCUCUCUAGAGAGAUGUGAUAUUGGAGAACUACCAGAAUCUCAUCACACUAGAGACAGAGCGUGAAUGGGGGAGGAGCAGAGAGAGGGAGACCCAG